UGCGGGUCGAAAGGGGGCUGAGGAGAGGGGGUUGGGUAGAGACCCUCGGAAGAAGGAAAAUGACUUGGACCGGGAGGAUCGCCGGGGAGUGGGAGCACACCCAACACACACAAGGAAUUUCUAAAAAAGAAGGAAGUAAGGUUGUUGUAACACUGAACUCCAGUUCUGAGUAAUAUAUAUAGAAAGAGGGCCCAUUUUACAAAAUAAAGAAAGCGUUGAACCUUGUUAUUUGUAAAUAAAAAACAAUAAAUCCUGACCGAUAGAUGAAAAGGAAAAAACUUCAAAGCAAUGGACAACAAAAAGACAAGAAGGCAUGACCAGAAGAAUUGUGUGAAAUAAGUAAAUUUAUCCAGUUGAGGCAUUCCCGUUUUUAAAAAAAUCACGUACAGAAAAAAGCUCCUCUCCUCGGA
rnacentral:misc_RNA from 1 species